UACAGAGGGGGCAAGCGUUGUUCGGAAUUACUGGGCGUAAAGGGCGCGUAGGCGGCCUUCUAAGUCGAACGUGAAAUCCCCGGGCUCAACCCGGGAACUGCGUCCGAUACUGGAAGGCUUGAAUCCGGGAGAGGGAUGUGGAAUUCCAGGUGUAGCGGUGAAAUGCGCAGAUAUCAGGAGGAACACCAAUGGCGAAGGCAGCUCGCUGGAACGGUACUGACGCUGAGGCGCGAAAGCGUGGGGAGCGAACAGG
rnacentral:rRNA from 1 species